AGUCUGGUCCAAUUGAGUGACAGUUGAGAGAGUAAACCCCUCCCACUCCUCUACGCAUCAGACAAACUUUACCUUCGCGGGCAUUUUGAUCCACUUCAUCUCGGAAAGCUGUUAUUCGGAGAAUAAAAGGUUGCAGAAUAACAGCUAAUAUUAAUGGAUCAUUCUAUUCAAGAGAAUGUCAACUGGAACUUGGGUGUUUUCAUAACAGGCUUUAUGGUAAACAUCAUUUAGAUGAACAAAUUGAUAAAGAAACCCUCCUGCUGGACAUCCACUUCCAAAAGUGCACACCACACUGUUGUCUACAACUCCCAGGAAAAGAAUCCUCUUUAGUAAGACUGCUCCGUGGAUAUGUCAGGUUAAGCAGUGCUGAAACCGAAAGAACUAACGCUCUUUAAAAUGUUUUGUGAGUUUAUAUGAAGAGGAAAGUUACGGUGUCCCUUUUCCACAUCCAUAACGCUUGUUUAUUUCUUUUUUUAUAGAAAACUUGUGCAUAGACUUAUAUUUUAUCAUAUAAAUGAGGUUCUAUCAACAAGGGUUUAGUAAAAUACUUUUUGUAGUGUUUUGAAGUGUUAAGUUGUCUAACUAUUUAUAUUU